rnacentral:rRNA from 1 species
AACAAACGCUGGCGGCGUGCCUAAUACAUGCAAGUCGAACGGGGAAAGCUUUCGGGUGAGUACUAGUGGCGCACGGGUGAGGAACGCGUGGAUAAUCUGCCUUAGAGUGGGGGAUAACUAGUCGAAAGAUUAGCUAAUACCGCAUAAGACCACGAGAGCUGCGGCUUUUGAGGUCAAAGGUUUUUCGCUCUAAGAUGAGUCCGCGUAAGAUUAGCUAGUUGGUGAGGUAACGGCUCACCAAGGCGACGAUCUUUAACUGGUCUGAGAGGAUGAUCAGUCACACUGGAACUGAGACACGGUCCAGACUCCUACGGGAGGCAGCAGUAGGGAAUAUUGCACAAUGGAGGAAACUCUGAUGCAGCGACGCCGCGUGAGUGAUGAAGGCCUUCGGGUCGUAAAGCUCUGUCGCAGGGGAACAACACAAUGAAGGUACCCUGUAAGAAAGGAUCGGCUAACUUCGUG